rnacentral:rRNA from 1 species
UCUUAAAGGAAUUGACGGAAGAGCACCACAAGGCAUGGAGCUUGCGGCUUAAUUUGACUCAACACGGGAAAACUUACCCGGUCAGGACACUGUAAUGACAGACAGUUUGAGAGACCUUCCUCGAUUCGGUGAUUGGUGGUGCAUGGCCGCUCAUAGUUCGUGGAAUGAUUUGUCAGGAUAAAUCCGGUAACGGGCGGAACUCGCACCUGCUAAAAAGACGGCCGAACGCCAAUGUACGGCGCCGUUCGGCUGCUCCCGCGACCGUAAGAGCUUCUUAGAGGGACCAAUGUCACGGCUACCGAUUUCUCGCUUGCAAACGGCAGUUGGCCGACUCUCGACGCGACCGAGAGUUUUACCCGUGAAGUGUUUGAACCGUGACCGCGAGGUUAUGUAAAUUCAGCUUUCACGGACCGCUCCGGCUGUUCGCUCCGAGGCUUCGGGGCGGUUUCGAUGGCCAAAGACACGCGAAGAGGCGAGCAAAAGCGGGUCAGUGAUGCCCCUAGAUGUUCAGG